UAGUCCCAUGGUUAUUGGGGGGUCUCACUAAGACCUCUUAGUGAAGGGUUUUGUCCAUGCUAGUCCCCUUUAGUCUCAUUAAUGUUAGUCCCAGCAUGAAACAAACACAAUAUUGGACUAACAGCUAGUCCAGUCCAGUUCAGUCCCACAAACGCCUAACGGUCUCUUUCUCUCUCUAGCUCUCUGAGAUUUUCGUCUAACCCUCUCUCUAGAACUCGCAUUCUUGCUGUGAUCCUAAUCCACGGACGGUACUCUCCUCUCUCUCUCUCUCUCUCUCUCUCUCUCUCUCUCUCUCUCUCUCUCUCUCUCUCCAGUUAUUUCUUGUUAAAUGGUCGAGCGAGCACCUGGAGAUGUUUCCCCAAAACUGCAAAGACGUCGUUCCAAAUCACGACUCCAAGCCCUCUCCGACCUCUGACGCAGUUAAAACCCUAGAGAAGAUUACAACCCAGUUGGACAGUGACGUGAGCGACAAAGAAUGUAGUCCAGAUAUUGCUUCCAAACCCGUCGAGUGAGAUUCUGAUUUGAUUGGUGAGAGUAGCAAGUCGAACGGAACUCAAGAAGGUUCUCCAUGUCAGAUGGUCCUUCCAGUUUUGCAGAAGAUCACUGAUUUGUUAAUGUCGCUUCGAGGAAAGCUUAGAAAGUCAUUGGAAGCAUUUGUAUAUUCUUUCUGUUUUGAAUCUUUGGACAAAUUCACUAAACGUUUUUGCUUUUGUUCUUAUGCUUUAGGACUUGAAGAGAGAGAGCAUACUGCCUUGUCUGAUGAAGUCAAGCUCACUACGAAUUCCUCGAGUGAACGUUUUGUUUUAAUCACUCACAAUUAUUUUCUAACUUUCCUUCCUCUCUUUGACUGUAAUUGUUUGUUUCGGGAUAUUUAGGUAUUGGAAAGAAGUACCUGAUGAGUUGUCUGAGCAAAAGAGACUUUACAAUGAAGUGAUUGAGCUUAAAGGCAACAUCCGAGUUUUCUGCAGAUUUAGACCUUUGAAUCAAACUGAAAUUUCAAGCGGAUCAGGUUCCGUUGUUGGAUUGGAAUCCUCCCUAGACAGUGGGUUGCAGGUCAUUUGUUCUGACUCCUCUAAAAAGCAGUUCAAGUUUGACCAUGUCUUCGGACCUGAGGGCAACCAAGAGGCUGUUUUUG